AUUUAAUUGAUUUGUCUGAGCUCGGAGAGAGACAUCUCUGGGGAGGACCAGUGUAGACACUCAGGAGGCUCCUAAAAUAUUUUCUCUGCUGUGAAUGCUAUUUCUCCUGCCUGCGCUUAAGUGCGCGGUUGGUGGGUGUUCUGCAGUGGGGGGAGGGAGCCGACAAAGACCUGGGAGUGUGCGUGGAUCUCUCUAUUCCAAAGGAGGUGUUUUAUCACACGACUCGACACUUUCUAAUUACUACACACAGUGGAGUUUACUUUACUACUAUUCUUUUGUUCGUUGGGGGAACGCUCUCUUUCGGGAGGGAGUUCUCCCAGUGGAUGCAAACACAAACAAAUAUUUUUUUAAACUAAUUCAGUCAACACAAGAUUUCUUUUAGUAGAAAUCGAAUUCCCGCUUGCCACC
rnacentral:rRNA from 1 species